ACCCACUCCCGGCACGGGGAGGUAGUGACGAAAAAUAACGAUACGGGACUCAUCCGAGGCCCCGUAAUCGGAAUGAGUACACUCUAAACCCUUUAACGAGGAUCAAUUGGAGGGCAAGUCUGGUGCCAGCAGCCGCGGUAAUUCCAGCUCCAAUAGCGUAUAUUAAAGUUGUUGCGGUUAAAAAGCUCGUAGUCGAAUCUGUGUCCCGCGUCGCCGGUUCAUCGCUCGCGGUGUUCAACUGGCGUGUCGCGGGACGUCCUGCCGGUGGGCUAAGCCCGUCCGCGGGCGGCGCCCAACUUGAAAUCCCACCGCGGUGCUCUUGACUGAGUGUCGAGGUGGGCCGGCACGUUUACUUUGAACAAAUUAGAGUGCUUAAAGCAGGCUAAAAUUUCGCCUGAAUACUGUGUGCAUGGAAUAAUGGAAUAGGACCUCGGUUCUAUUUUGUUGGUUUUCGGAACCCCGAGGUAAUGAUUAAUAGGAACGGAUGGGGGCAUUCGUAUUGCGACGUUAGAGGUGAAAUUCUUGGAUCGUCGCAAGACGGACAGAAGCGAAAGCAUUUGCCAAAAACGCUUUCAUUGAUCAAGAACGAAAGUUAGAGGUUCGAAGGCGAUCAGAUACCGCCCUAGUUCUAACCAUAAACGAUGCCAGCUAGCGAUCCGCCGACGUUCCUCCGAUGACUCGGCGGGCAGCUUCCGGGAAACCAAAGCUUUUGGGUUCCGGGGGAAGUAUGGUUGCAAAGCUGAAACUUAAAGGAAUUGACGGAAGGGCACCACCAGGAGUGGAGCCUGCGGCUUAAUUUGACUCAACACGGGAAACCUCACCAGGCCCGGACACCGGAAGGAUUGACAGAUUGAGAGCUCUUUCUUGAUUCGGUGGGUGGUGGUGCAUGGCCGUUCUUAGUUGGUGGAGCGAUUUGUCUGGUUAAUUCCGAUAACGAACGAGACUCUAGCCUGCUAACUAGGCGUAUUUUCGACAUCUCAAAGGCCCGCCGGCCCGGCGUUCUGCGCUGUGGUCGUGCGCGGUUUUUACUGUCGGCGUACAAUCAAUUCUUCUUAGAGGGACAGGCGGCUUCUAGCCGCACGAGAUUGAGCAAUAACAGGUCUGUGAUGCCCUUAGAUGUUCUGGGCCGCACGCGCGCUACACUGAAGGAAUCAGCGUGUCUUCCCUGGCCGAGAGGCCCGGGUAACCCGCUGAACCUCCUUCGUGCUAGGGAUUGGGGCUUGCAAUUGUUCCCCAUGAACGAGGAAUUCCCAGUAAGCGCGAGUCAUAAGCUCGCGUUGAUUACGUCCCUGCCCUUUGUACACACCGCCCGUCGCUACUACCGAUUGAAUGAUUUAGUGAGGUCUUCGGACCGGUACGCGGUGGCGCUCAGGCGUCGCCGAUGUUGCUGGGAAGAUGACCAAA
rnacentral:rRNA from 1 species